GCUUGUCUCAAAGAUUAAGCCAUGCAUGUCUCAGUAUAAGUUCCUGUACGGCGAAACUGCGAAUGGCUCAUUAUAUCAGUUAUAGUUUAUUUGAUGGUCCUUGCUACUUGGAUAACCGUAGUAAUUCUAGAGCUAAUACAUGCAUCAAGCCCCGACUUCUGGAAGGGGUGUAUUUAUUAGAUGGAAACCAAUGCGGGGCAACCCGGUAUAUGGUGAUUCAUAAUAACUUUCGGAUCGAUUUAUCGAUGCAUCAUUCAAGUUUCUGCCCUAUCAGCUUUGGAUGGUAGGGUAUUGGCCUACCAUGGCUUUAACGGGUAACGGAGAAUUAGGGUUCGAUUCCGGAGAGGGAGCCUGAGAAAUGGCUACCACAUCCAAGGAAGGCAGCAGG
rnacentral:rRNA from 1 species